rnacentral:snRNA from 1 species
GGAUGUGAGGCUGAUCUGUCUGGACAUCUGUUAUCCCAUUGAUUGCCAGGGUUGAUCUGGCUGAUCUGGCUGGGUAGGCAGGUGUCCCCUUCCUCCUGACCACUCCAUGUGCAGCCCUUGUGAAGCUGUGUUCUUGGUUGAAGAGGAUGAUCUUCUCCAAUAGAGGAGGACCAUUCUUUGAUCAAGGGUAUAUGAGUAGCUGCACUCCCCUGCCAGAACCUCCAAAUAAGUUCUCAAGGUCCAUAUGUUAUUUUGAGAACUUCAGAGUGUUCCUGCCCACAUGCCACAACCCCUUGCUGUUUCCAGUCUGAUCUAUACAAC